UCCUUUUCUUUUCUUUUUUUUGAGAUGGUGUCUCUCUAUGUUGCCUAGCCUGGUCUCGAACUCCUGGGCUCAAGUGAUCCUCCUGCCUCAGCCUCCCAAAGUGCUAAGAUUACUGGUGUGAGCCACCAUGCCGGUCCAGCAAUCCAUGGUUCCAUAUAGGUGAAUAGGAAGACUUUCUUUCUUAUUAUUUAGAUAUCUUUGAAAGAUAAUCAGUAGUUUAAAGCAAAAUUAGCUCCAUACUAAAUAUUCAUACUAGCUAUUUUAAUUUUUAUAAUUAUACUAUUGAAGUGGAUACUCUUAUGCAGACUUUACAAAUGAACAAACUGAAGUUUAGAGAUUCUAAAUAUUCUAAAUAAAUAGGUCAUAUAGGCAUAUCAUUAUACUGUCUAUUGCUCAAUGCCCUUGACAGUGCACAGUUCCUUGGCUAAAAGUAUGUGGAAGCAGGGAAAAAUGAAUCCAGCAAUUACUAUAUUUAGCUGCUUUUACAAAUGCCUCUUGGUUAAAAAAAAAAAAAAAAAGACAUUCAUUGGUAGACAUUACCACAUUGCCAAGUCACUCAUAAAUCUAAGUACGAAAGUCAGUAAAAAAGGAUGAUGUUAUCUGAUUCACUGAAAGGGAAAUAAGCUGAGAUCUGCUGCGUUAGGACAAAGGCCAGCUGGGCUUUAUGAGAAUUCAGAUGGCAAGGAACAAGCUUUUUAUGGCAAUGACAGAGGGAGAAGGGAACAAUAUUAUAAGGAAGAAUCUUUGUGGUUCAAACAGAUUAUGUGGUUUAUUAUUUUCAUUUAGAUUAGGGAAAAAAUCAGUGGGCACAGAAUAAAUAGCAACUGCCUCUUUCCCCCUCCCCAGCAAGCAGAAUAUUGAUUUCCUCUUUGAGGAAAGGACACAUUAAAAAGAAUACUCUUGAGAUGAUAAAUAUGCUAAUUAAUGUGAUCUAAUCCCUAUACAUUAUGUAUAUGGAAACACCACUAUGUACCCCAUGAAUGUGUACAAUUAUUGUCAAUUUAAAAAUACAAUUUUAAAAACACUCAUUUUAUUUUUUUAAAUUAAUUGUUCUUAUUUUAAAAAUUAUUAUUUUUUAGGGAUGGGAUCUCACUGCAUUGCUCAGGCUGGUCUCAAACUCCUGGGCUCAAGCAAUCUUCCUGCCUUAGCUUCCCAAAGUUCUGGGAUUACAGGCAUGAGCCACCACUCCCAGCCAAAAAAAAAAAUACUCAUUUAAAGCUGCACAAGUUUGAUGGCACAAGUCUGUAUAACUGGACCUGUGCCUUUAUAAAACCUCAAACACUGCAAAGGUUCAUGAAACAAUGUAUAUCUAUUCUUCUUAUUCACUGUCAUCAAUGCUGACCAGGGAAAAUUGCACAGGUGCACGUGUGUGUGUGUGUGUGUAGGGCUAGUGAAGCAGGCAACUACCAGAGAUACAUUAUUAAAAAGCUAACAUUUAUUGGCCAGGCGCGGUGGCUUACGUCUGUAAUCCCAGCACUCUCACGGGUGGUGCCUCCCCGGCAAUGGGGGUCCCAAGAUCCAGGGGGGGAAAAGGGGAUGGCUCUCAGCCACCACAAAAUGGGGGGCCUUUAUGUUCAGGUUUUGCCCAAGAGUCAGCUUAUUUGCUUCUUGUACUAGCAGGGCAGUUGCUGCCAAGGCCUCAAACAGGGGAGCCAUCCUUCAGAAACCCUGUCUAGUUGUUCAGAGACGUAGGCCACCGGCCUCAGCCAGGGCCCCACAGUUUGGGUUAAAAGUCCAGCUGCCAUCUUUUCUCUCUCUAACGCAUACAAUGGAAAAGGCUUUGUCAGAUCGGGUAGCCCCAGGGCUGGGGCUGCCAGAAGUUUUUCCUUUAAGUCAUGAAAGACUUGCUGUUCUUGGAUCCCCAUUCCAAAGGUUCCGGUCCCCGCCCCCUUUGUGACCUCAUACAAAGGCUUGGCUAAUACUGCAAAGUUUGGGAUCCACAGUCUACAAAACCCCACAUCCCCUGAGAAUUCUCUCGCCUGCCUUAGGCACUUAGGCUCCGGGAGAUUGCAAAUAACCUGCUUUCUUUCUGUUCCCGGGCUGCGUUCGGACUCCUGUCAGAUAGUAAAUCCUAAGUGGCGUCGGACCCCUGUCAGAGAGUAAAUCUCAAGUAAGGUACCUGCCAUCGGCAGAUUUGAGCUUUCUUCUUGGACACCUAAUACCCACAGUCCUCCAGGCUCCGGUAGACUGCAAAUGACCUGCUUUCUUUCUGUUCCCGGGCUGCGUUUGGACCCCUGUCGGACAGUAAAUCCCAAGUAAGGUACCUGCCCUCGGCAGAUUUGAGCUUUCUUCUUGGACACCUAAUACCCACAGUCCUCCAGGAAUGGAACAGAUAAGAAGAUACUGAAAUUGGACGGUGCUGCCGUGCGGCUGCCGCAGGACACCUUUAAUAUCCCUGUUUCUCAGGCUGUAGAUGAAGGGGUUCAGCAUGGAGGUGAUCACCGUGUACAUCACUGAGGCCACUGCAGCCUUUCUCGGGGAAGAUGACACAUCUGAACUGAGGUACCCUCCAAAGCCUGUUCCGUAAAAUCAGCAAACAACUGACAGGAUAACUUCAGGAAGUGGGUAUUAAUUCUCACGGUAUAAGUGAAGACAUUAAGCACCAGAGUUUAAGUAGCUUGAUCCACUGAAAGAGAUUCAACUGUGUGGAACCUAUGCCGUGGAGAAUUGCUUUCUGCCAUUGUUAUCGUCCAGCAGUUGCCGAAUAGCUCUGACCUGAGCAAAGCAGUGAAACGCGGUGCUGUUGAGUGGGUUGCCACUGCACCUUUUUCAACUACUCUAGUCUUGUGGAGAAAAUACCCCUUCUAAAUUUUUUCUUCAUUGAAUACUCUCCCUCAGCUCCAGAGUACCAUAUAGAGUUUUCUUGUAUUUUAGAGUUACUGUUUUAUCAAAGUUUACCAGUCUUUUGUAUUACAUUUCUCCUGUCUAAAUCGACUGUGUGGUUUCUACUCAUUAUGGAUAUAGAUUGAUACAAACUCAAUAAAUAUUUUUGAAUGAAUAACUCCACAGUCCAAGUUAUUUUAAUCACUAUACAAAAUCUCCAGAGUUUCUCCCAUAUUUCUGAACAUGGUAACUAUGUAUCAAGAGACAAAC
rnacentral:lncRNA from 1 species